CUACGGGUGGCACCAGUGAGGAAUUUUGCGCAAUGGGGGAAACCCUGACGCAGCGACGCCGCGUGAGUGAAGAAGGCCUUCGGGUCGUAAAGCUCUGUCAAGUGGGAAAAAAGUCCUGUUGUUAAUAGCGACAGGAUUUGAUGGUACUACUAGAGGAAGCACCGGCUAACUCCGUGCCAGCAGCCGCGGUAAUACGGAGGGUGCAAGCGUUGUUCGGAAUUACUGGGCGUAAAGGGCGUGUAGGCGGUUUGGUAAGUCAGAUGUGAAAGCCCUGGGCUUAACCUAGGAAGUGCAUUUGAUACUGCCUUACUUGAGUAUGGGAGAGGAGAGUGGAAUUCCCAGUGUAGAGGUGAAAUUCGUAGAUAUUGGGAGGAACACCCGUGGCGAAGGCGACUCUCUGGACCAAUACUGACGCUGAGACGCGAAAGCGUGGGGAGCAAACAGGAUUAGAUACCCUUGUAGUC
rnacentral:rRNA from 1 species